UAAGUGGGCACACUGCUACCUCCUUCACAGGGCUGCUGAGAAGAAAGGAGACAGGCGCAUCCGCACACAGAAAGCACUCAGUAAAUGCUGUUUCCCCCCUUCCCCCUAUACAAAGAGACUGAAAGCAACCGCGGCUGCCCGGAGGUCCGAACUGGAGGGUGGCCGCAGCCGUGACUUCCUUGGGAACCGCGCUGCCUCGACUCGGCUACCUCUCUGCGAAGCACUCGCUAAGCCGGGCAGCCCCGGGGUCGCUUAGCGGCCCAGGAGGCGCCAGCGAUCCUGUUCCCCUGCAGAGCUAUGGGGACCGGAAGGCGAAACAGAGCUGUCGACGCGGGAGCAUACGCUGCCCACCAGUGGAGCGCAGGUCAUCAAAGCCGAAUCCGAAUUUGAAUUCUGUGCGGCUGAUUGCAGAGCUGUCUUGAGGCCCUGAGGACUGGGAUCUGCGACCCCCAGUGGACAAAAGUCGACUCUACCCCAGAGGCUAAUUUUCUCAAGGCAGGCACCUGUUGAGAGGCUGCAAGUAAAAUACAGGGGAACGCUAGUUUCCGAGCUCAUCCCAGGUUCUUGCUGCAGAGGGAGCCCAGCUGAGCCUAGGAUCCAGGCUGCUUCUGCGAACCUGAAGUCCCCCAGGACACAGCGGGGCCUUGGGGCUUUUGAAGGAAGCAAGUGGCCAAGGGUGUGAAAGUCAUGAGAAACCCGAGCUUAACCACUGGGUGAUUGUGCACGGUCAAGAAUUUCAUCAUGAUGAGGCAUAGGAAGGAACCUAAUUAAUAUCCAGGGAAGCCACCCACAGGAAGGAAUUUCUUUCCCAGAAAGCUAGUAUGAUUUAAUAUUAGAAAAUCUAUAAACAUGAUUUAUAUGAAUAAACCAAGAAAUUUUUUUAAAAAAUGUAAA
ensembl:lncRNA TMSB15B-AS1 TMSB15B antisense RNA 1